CCUACGGGAGGCAGCAGUGAGGAAUAUUGGUCAAUGGACGAGAGUCUGAACCAGCCAAGUAGCGUGAAGGAUGACUGCCCUAUGGGUUGUAAACUUCUUUUAUCAAGGAAUAAAACGAGGCACUCGUGCCUUUUUGCAUGUACUUUAUGAAUAAGGAUCGGCUAACUCCGUGCCAGCCGCCGCGGUAAUACGGAGGAUCCGAGCGUUAUCCGGAUUUAUUGGGUUUAAAGGGAGCGUAGAUGGGUUGUUAAGUCAGUUGUGAAAGUUUGCGGCUCAACCUUAAAAUUGCAAUUGAUACUGGCAGUCUUGAGUGCAGGUGAGGUAGGCGGAAUUCGUGGUGUAGCGGUGAAAUGCUUAGAUAUCACGAAGAACCCCGAUUGCGAAGGCAGCUUACUAAACUGUGACUGACAUUGAUGCUCGAAAGUGUGGGUAUCAAACAGGAUUAGAUACCCCUGUAGUC
rnacentral:rRNA from 1 species